GAUGUCGGCUCUUCCUAUCAUUAUGACACAGCAUUCAUCAAGUGUUGGAUGGUUCACACGAUAACAGGGAACGUGAGCUGGGUUGAAACCGUCGUGAGAUGGUC
rnacentral:ncRNA from 1 species